UACAGAGGGGGCAAGCGUUGUUCGGAAUUACUGGGAGUAAAGGGCGCGUAGGCGGCCCGCUAAGUCGAACGUGAAAUCCCCGAGCUCAACUCGGGAACUGCGUCCGAUACUGGCGGGCUUGAAUCCGGGAGAGGGAUGCGGAAUUCCAGGUGUAGCGGUGAAAUGCGUAGAUAUCUGGAGGAACACCGGUGGCGAAGGCGGCAUCCUGGACCGGCAUUGACGCUGAGGCGCGAAAGCUAGGGGAGCAAACGGG
rnacentral:rRNA from 1 species